CUCUUAACUUUAUUCCGCAAGAAAGCAGCGGAAUUUUCAGCCGUUUACGCUUUUCUCUCUCACUCGACCACUUUCGAAGAUGCAUUGCCAAGACUUUCAUGGCAUGACGCUGACGCCACGGCAGAGGUCAGCAGAGCGCAGCUGGGUAAACUGACGCCAUCACUGUCGUCACCGAAACGACUUCAAUCUCCUUGUCGAAACUCGCACGCUUAACGUCCCAAUACAAGUUCCCAACAACCAAACCGACCAACCCUUUCCUCUCUCUCUCUCUCUCAAACUGUGUCUGAAAGCGAUAAUUGAAGCUUCGGUUUCUUGUCCUUCUCCUGCUUUUUGCUCUCAUCUUUAUUUCGCUGUAUCUUCAGUCAGCUUUAGGAAGUUUCUCCUUCCGAUUUCUGUAUGUUGAACUGUUUGGGUGUUUUCCUGCGGUAUAAUUUCUACCUAAUUUGACAUAUUUUUUGGAAUUAAAAUCUUUGGAUCUUGAGAAUUUUGAAGUAGUUGAGUGGAUCUAGUUCAAAUGUUGAAAGCUUGUGGAGAUGUAAUUUUUUAAGGUGAAUUUUAAUGACGGGAUUUGUUAAGAAUAGAGCUUGAAUCAGUGCUAUUGUCUGCUUUCUUACAAGACAUUUUUUGAAGAAAAAAACUAAUCCUUUUUAAUCUAUUUCUAGUUAGCAUUUUGGGUUUGUUUUGGAUAUUAUGCUCAUUAGGUGGUAUUGGAAAUUCAAGCAAGAGAGCAGGGUUCUUGGCCUUUGCACUCGUUUUCCUGAUUCUUGUAAAAUACAGAAAUCAGAAGAUUUUGACCAGAAGUGCAUGCCCUUCGUGACUUGGAGUUUAGAUCAUUUGAUUUAACUUGUCAUCUUGCUAACUUUCAAACAGAGGGAGUUAUGUUAUGAGACACAGUUUGGUAUUUAUAUAUCCUUUUGAAGUUGCUUCUUUGAAACCCAGUUGAUAUUUUCAGCGCAAUUCCGCUUUUCUGCUAGUUUUCUUUUUCUGGACUGUGAAUAUAGGUAUAUUUUCUAUUUUCCAAUAAAUUGUAUUGUUUAUGCUACUUCUUCUUUCUAAAUUGUACUUUUGUACUUUUUUUGACAUAGGUCUUUGGUUGAACAACUGGUAGGAAAAGUUUCAUUUGUAACGUAAUAGUCAUAGACAUUGAUUUAUCCAUAGGAAGUUCCAAAUAGAGCAACUGAAAGAAUAUUUUGCACUGUGUAUCAAUGGCUAAUUCAACUGAACCAUCGUCAUCUUUGAGCUUUACUUCAUCUUCCCAUUUAUCAAAUGGCACAUUUGGCCCCACUAAAUCAUCCUCUAGCCUUGAACCGGGUCCUAACCUUGAAAUCAUCAGCUUAAGCAAGCUUAGCUCUAAUUUGGAGCAGCUCUUGAUUGAUCCAAGUUGUGAUUAUAGCGAUGCGGAUAUCGUUGUUGAGGGAAUUCCAGUUGGUGUUAACCGAUGUAUUUUGGCUGUUAGAAGUAGGUUUUUCCUUGAGUAUUUUCAGCGAGUGAAGGGAUCUACCGAGAAGGAAGGAAAACCUAAGUACUUUAUCCGGGAUUUGUUGCCUUAUGGCAAGGUUGGAUACGAGGCAUUUCGGGUUUUCUUGAGCUAUCUGUACACGGCGAAACUGAAGCCUUCUCCAGUGGAAGUGUCAACUUGUGUUGACGAUUUUUGCGUCCAUGAUGCAUGUAGACCCGCUAUUAAUUUUGCUGUGGAAUUGAUGUACGCCUCUUACAUUUUUCAGACGCCAGAGCUGGUUUCACUUUUCCAGAGACGUCUUCUUAACUUUGUUGGGAAGGCUGUUGUAGAAGAUGUCAUCCCAAUUCUUAUGGUUGCUUUCCAUUGUCAAUUGACUCAACUUGUCACUCAAUGUGUUGAUCGAGUAGCAAGAUCAGAUCUUGACAGCAUCUCUGUUGAGAAAGAGCUCCCUGAUGAAAUUGCAAAGAACAUUAAAUUGCUUCGUCUCCAGUCUCAGUGUGAUGAUGAUCAUAAAAUAGAAGCUGUCGAUCCCUUGCAUGAAAAGAGAAUCAGGAGAAUACACAAAGCAUUAGAUUCUGAUGAUGUUGAACUGGUGAAACUUCUUCUCUCUGAGUCUGAAAUAACCUUAGAUGAAGCCAAUGCUCUCCAUUAUGCUGUAGCCUACUGUGAUCCUAAGGUUGUGACUGAGGUGCUAGGUCUAGGUUUGGCCAAUGUCAACCGCCGAAAUUGUCGAGGUUAUACGGUACUUCACAUGGCUGCAAGGCGUAAGGAGCCAUCAAUAAUAGUUUCGCUUCUGACAAAAAGUGCCAGUGCAUUAGAAUUGACAUUGGAUGGUCAGAGUGCUGUUAGUAUAUGCCGGAGGUUGACGAGGCCAAAGGACUAUCAUGCUAAAACAGAGCAGGGGCAGGAAGCAAAUAAAGAUCGGAUAUGCAUCGAUGUUCUAGAGAGAGAAAUGAGAAGGAAUCCAAUGGCUGGGGAUGCAUCUAUUUCUUCUGAAACAGUAGCAGAUGAUCUGCACAUGAAGCUGCUGUAUCUGGAAAACCGAGUUGCAUUUGCACGAAUGUUCUUCCCUACCGAAGCUAAGCUAGCCUAUGAUGUUGCACAUGCUGAGACAAUAUCUGAGUUUGCUGGCAUUUCUGCCUCAAAAGGUUCAACUGGGAAUUUGAGGGCAGUCAAUUUGAAUGAGACUCCAAUUAUGCAGAACAAGAGACUCUUUACUCGAAUUGAAGCACUGAUGAAAACAGUGGAGAUGGGUCGACGCUAUUUUCCUCAUUGCUCAGAAGUGCUGGAUAAGUUCAUGGAGGAUGACCUUCCCGAUUUGUUUUAUCUUGAGAUGGGCACCCCAAUUGAGCAGAGAAUCAAGAGGAAGCGCUUCAUGGAGCUAAAAGAGGAUGUUCAAAAGGCAUUCCAUAAGGACAAGGCCAAGUCCAGUCGCUCUGGAUUGUCCUCCUCGUCAUCCUCGUCUUCUCAAAAAGAUUGUGUAAAUUAUAAGGUGGGAGAAGACGGUGUAAAUUACAAAAAAUCAUGAAGGCUCGUAAUUUGUCUAAAUAAGCUUGGUCCUAAAGUGCAAACCAUUUUCAGAAAAAUAUACUGAGGAUGGUCUUAACAGCUGUGGGAGAAUGAGAGAAAAUGUAAAAGUUGUUCUUUUGUUCCAUUUUGUGCAGCAUUUGCUACCGUGAGAACGUAGAUCUGUGAGCAGAUUUUUCAGAAGCAUUCAUGUCAAUCAUGGUAACCCGAGAGGUCCAUUGGUUGGAAGAAGUGGUGGAAAUUGUUUGUACGACCAUUAUAAGCCGCAGAUAUUCCCUAAACAUAUUUUACACUCGAAUAGAGGAGAAUAAUAUCAGAUUCCUUCUAUUUUGGGCUCAGAAAAGUGUUCUAAAAAUACUUUGAGCAUCAAAUGGUUUGUACGCUUGUGAGUUGAUUCUCAAUUAGUGCAGAAGCGUUAUUUUUUGACUCCA